rnacentral:rRNA from 1 species
CCUACGGGUGGCAGCAGUGGGGAAUAUUGGACAAUGGGCGAAAGCCUGAUCCAGCCAUGCCGCGUGUGUGAAGAAGGCCUUCGGGUUGUAAAGCACUUUCAGUGGGGAAGAAAGCCUUGGGGCUAAUACCCUCGAGGAAGGACAUCACCCACAGAAGAAGCACCGGCUAACUCCGUGCCAGCAGCCGCGGUAAUACGGAGGGUGCGAGCGUUAAUCGGAAUUACUGGGCGUAAAGCGCGCGUAGGCGGUCUGAUAAGCCGGUUGUGAAAGCCCCGGGCUCAACCUGGGAACGGCAUCCGGAACUGUCAGGCUAGAGUGCAGGAGAGGAAGGUAGAAUUCCCGGUGUAGCGGUGAAAUGCGUAGAGAUCGGGAGGAAUACCAGUGGCGAAGGCGGCCUUCUGGACUGACACUGACGCUGAGGCGCGAAAGCGUGGGUAGCAAACAGGAUUAGAUACCCGGGUAGUC